rnacentral:SRP_RNA from 10 species
GAAAGGUGGGGAAAGGGAUGCCCGAAAGACGACUGUCGCUCGCUGGAAGGCGUCGAAUCCAGGCAGGCCCGUCUACGAAGUCUUAGCAGCUCAUCGCCGGAGCCCGCGCUGGCGGGACUACG